rnacentral:rRNA from 1 species
AUUGAACGCUGGCGGCAUGCUUUACACAUGCAAGCCGAACGGUAACAGGCCGCAAGGUGCUGACGAGUGGCGAACGGGUGAGUAAUGCAUCGGAACGUGCCCAGUCGUGGGGGAUAACGCAGCGAAAGCUGUGCUAAUACCGCAUACGAUCUAUGGAUGAAAGCGGGGGACCGUAAGGCCUCGCGCGAUUGGAGCGGCCGAUGUCAGAUUAGGUAGUUGGUUGGGUAAAGGCUCACCAAGCCAACGAGCUGUAGCUGGUCUGAGAGGACGACCAGCCACACUGGGACUGAGACACGGCCCAGACUCCUACGGGAGGCAGCAGUGGGGAAUUUUGGAUAAUGGGCGCAAGCCUGAUCCAGCAAUGCCGCGUGCAGGAAGAAGGCCUUCGGGUUGUAAACUGCUUUUGUACGGAACGAAAAGGUUUGGGUUAAUACCCUGGGCCGAUGACGGUACCGUAAGAAUAAGCACCGGCUAACUACGUGCCAGCCGCCGCGGUAACAC